rnacentral:rRNA from 1 species
AACGAACGCUGGCGGCAUGCCUAACACAUGCAAGUCGAACGAGACCUUCGGGUCUAGUGGCGCACGGGUGCGUAACGCGUGGGAACCUGCCCUUAGGUUCGGAAUAACUCCCCGAAAGGGGUGCUAAUACCGGAUAAUGUCUUCGGACCAAAGAUUUAUCGCCUUUGGAUGGGCCCGCGUUGGAUUAGCUAGUUGGUAGGGUAAAAGCCUACCAAGGCGACGAUCCAUAGCUGGUCUGAGAGGAUGAUCAGCCACACUGGGACUGAGACACGGCCCAGACUCCUACGGGAGGCAGCAGUGGGGAAUAUUGGACAAUGGGCGAAAGCCUGAUCCAGCAAUGCCGCGUGAGUGAAGAAGGCCUUAGUGUUGUAAAGCUCUUUUACCCGGGAUGAUAAUGACAGUACCGGGAGAAUAAGCUCCGGCUAACUCCGUG